rnacentral:rRNA from 1 species
UGACCGCUGGCGGCGUGCCUAAUACAUGCACGUCGAGCGAACGGACGCGAAGCUUGCUUCUCUGAUGUUAGCGGCGGACGGGUGAGUAACACGUGGAUAACCUACCUAUAAGACUGGGAUAACUUCGGGAAACCGUAGCUAAUACCGGAUAAUAUUUUGAACCGCAUGGUUCAAAAGUGAAAGACGGUCUUGCUGUCACUUAUAGAUGGAUCCGCGCUGCAUUAGCUAGUUGGUAAGGUAACGGCUUACCAAGGCAACGAUGCAUAGCCGACCUGAGAGGGUGAUCGGCCACACUGGAACUGAGACACGGUCCAGACUCCUACGGGAGGCAGCAGUAGGGAAUCUUCCGCAAAGGGCGAAAGCCUGACGGAGCAACGCCGCGUGAGUGAUGAAGGUCUUCGGAUCGUAAAACUCUGUUAUUAGGGAAGAACAUAUGUGUAAGUAACUGUGCACAUCUUGACGGUACCUAAUCAGAAAGCCACGGCUAACUACGUG